rnacentral:rRNA from 1 species
UACGGGGGGGGCAAGCGUUGUUCGGAAUUACUGGGCGUAAAGAGCGCGCAGGCGGUCGUUCAAGUCGCGUGUGAAAGCCCCCGGCUCAACUGGGGAGGGUCACGCGAUACUGAUCGACUCGAAGGCAGGAGAGGGUAGUGGAAUUCCCGGUGUAGUGGUGAAAUGCGUAGAUAUCGGGAGGAACACCAGUGGCGAAGGCGACUACCUGGCCUGUUCUUGACGCUGAGGCGCGAAAGCUAGGGGAGCAAACGGG